CCUACGGGAGGCUGCAGUGAGGAAUAUUGGUCAAUGGACGAGAGUCUGAACCAGCCAAGUAGCGUGAAGGAUGACUGCCCUAUGGGUUGUAAACUUCUUUUAUAUGGGAAUAAAAUGUUCCACGUGUGGGAUUUUGUAUGUACCAUAUGAAUAAGGAUCGGCUAACUCCGUGCCAGCAGCCGCGGUAAUACGGAGGAUCCGAGGGUUAUCCGGAUUGAUUGGGUUUAAAGGGAGCGUAGGUGGAUUGUUAAGUCAGUUGUGAAAGUUUGCGGCUCAACCGUAAAAUUGCAGUUGAAACUGGCAGUCUUGAGUACAGUAGAGGUGGGCGGAAUUCGUGGUGUAGCGGUGAAAUGCUUAGAUAUCACGAAGAACUCCGAUUGCGAAGGCAGCUCACUGGACUGCAACUGACACUGAGGCUCGAAAGUGUGGGUAUCAAACAGGAUUAGAUACCCGAGUAGUC
rnacentral:rRNA from 1 species